GUGGCUGUGGCUCAGUUGGUAAAGUAUGUGCCUAGCACACACUAGGUCUGGGUUCGAUCCCCAGCACCACA
rnacentral:tRNA from 1 species